GAGUAUUAGAAUGCUCUGACAGUGAAAUCUGUCACCCCAUUAAUCACCAGGUAGAUACAGAUGACCUGGCAGCUAUUGAGAUUGCCCCUUCCCCCUUUAUAAUUCCAUGUGUGUCCCUCUGAAAGUCAUGUGCUCCAUCAGAGGACAGCCUUCCCUAACAGAGUUCUUUGGUCAAGAAUAAACAUGGAAUUGCGCUCCUAUGCUAGAACCUCUGUAUUAGCUCUCAAAAGGAAACACAAUCAAAGAUUUUGUUUAAUCAAAGAUUUUGCCCUAGAUUUUGCUCUGUACUAAACGGCUGAGAUAUCU
rnacentral:snRNA from 1 species